AUUUAUAUAGUUUAAAAAAAACAUUAUAUUUUCAAUAUAAAAUUAAUUAAUUUCAAUUUAUAAAUU
rnacentral:tRNA from 1 species